CAAAUAUCGGAUCUUGGCGGCCUUCCUUCGAGGCUGGUGGUCUUCGAGUUAGCAUUUAGCGUGUACGAGGCAGUAAGGAUGUCGACUUCUGCGAGGAAGAGGCUCAUGAGGGACUUCAAAAGACUGCAGCAGGAUCCUCCAGCUGGUAUCAGCGGUGCUCCUCAUGACAACAACAUCAUGCUUUGGAAUGCUGUUAUAUUUGGCCCAGAUGAUACACCUUGGGAUGGAGGUAACUUGUAGUGAAC